rnacentral:rRNA from 1 species
GACGAACGCUGGCGGCGUGCUUAACACAUGCAAGUCGAACGCUGAAGCUCAGCUUUUGUUGGGUGGAUGAGUGGCGAACGGGUGAGUAACACGUGAGUAACCUGCCCCCUUCUUUGGGAUAACGCCCGGAAACGGGUGCUAAUACUGGAUAUUCACUGGUCUUCGCAUGGGGGUUGGUGGAAAGGGUUUUUCUGGUGGGGGAUGGGCUCGCGGCCUAUCAGCUUGUUGGUGGGGUGAUGGCCUACCAAGGCUUUGACGGGUAGCCGGCCUGAGAGGGUGACCGGGCACAUUGGGACUGAGAUACGGCCCAGACUCGUACGGGGGGCAGCAGUGGGGAAUAUUGCACAAUGGGCGCAAGCCUGAUGCAGCGACGCCGCGUGAGGGAUGGAGGCCUUCGGGUUGUGAACCUCUUUCGCUAAUGGUCAAGCCGCAACAAUGGUUGUGGUGAGGGUAGUGGGUAAAGAAGCGCCGGCUAACUACGUG